UNUGACUUGAGUGCGGAAGGAGAGAGUGGAAUUCCAUGUGUAGCGGUGAAAUGCGUAGAUAUAUGGAGGANCACCAGUGGCGAAAGCGGCUCUCUGNUCUGUCACUGACGCUGAGGCUNGAAAGCGUGGGUAGCGAACAGGAUUAGAUACCCUGGUAGUNCACGCCGUAAACGAUGAGUGCUAGGUGUUAGGCCCUUUCCGGGGCUUAGUGCCGGAGCUAACGCAAUAAGCACUCCGCCUGGGGAGUACGACCGCAAGGUUGAAACUCAAAGGAAUUGACGGGGGCCCGCACAAGCGGUGGAGCAUGUGGUUUAAUUCGAAGCAACGCGAAGAACCUUACCAGGUCUUGACAUCCCGAUGCUAUUCUUAGAGAUAGGAGGUUACUUCGGUACAUCGGAGACAGGUGGUGCAUGGUUGUCGUCAGCUCGUGUCGUGAGAUGUUGGGUUAAGUCCCGCAACGAGCGCAACCCUUAUUGUUAGUUGCCAUCAUUAAGUUGGGCACUCUAGCGAGACUGCCGGUAAUAAACCGGAGGAAGGUGGGGAUGACGUCAAAUCAUCAUGCCCCUUAUGACCUGGGCUACACACGUGCUACAAUGGUCGGUACAACGAGUUGCGAGCCGGUGACGGCAAGCUAAUCUCUGAAAGCCGAUCUCAGUUCGGAUUGGAGGCUGCAACUCGCCUCCAUGAAGUCGGAAUCGCUAGUAAUCGCGGAUCAGCACGCCGCGGUGAAUACGUUCCCGGGCCUUGUACACACCGCCCGUCACACCACGAGAGUUUGUAACACCCGAAGUCGGUGAGGUAACCUUUUAGGGGCCAGCCGCCU
rnacentral:rRNA from 1 species